ACAAGGUCUGAUGGCUUUAUAAGGCUAAGUUUCCUAGCACAAGUUCUCUUUGCCUGCUGCAAUCCAUGUAAGAUGUGACUUGUUCCUCCUUGCCUUCUGCCAUGAUUGUGAGGCCUCCACAGCCAUGCGGAACUGUUGAAAUACACACUACCUGAAGCUGGAUAACUCAUGAACUCUGUUGACAAUUAUAUUCUUUGUCUUUUUAAUUAACUCAUUUGGAGUUGGUGUCCUGAGGACCUAAGCCUAAGAAUCUUCAAGAUGGAAGAGUAGAGUGAACAAUGAAUGAGCCAGAGGGCUCUUGUCCUCUGUGUGCAGCUCUGGGCAGCCAGCAGGUGGAUAUGGGACUUGGCCUGCUGGAGGGGCCCUGGCAAGAGGAGCUGGCAGGAGCAGAUGGCAAAGGAUAAAGCGCUCCCUUGUUGGUGUCCCCACAGUCCAGGCUGGUGCUGAUGCCGUCCUGCCGUCCUGCAUCAGAGCCACUCAUGCCCGUGUGCGCACUCUUUGUCGGGGUCUGACACCGUUGCAUCGUAUAUCACCUGUGUUGUCAUGGUCAGUGCUCAACAAAUGCCCCUACUGAUUCAAGUAUAUGAGCAAGUCAAAUAAAAAAAUAAUAUGGCCGG
rnacentral:lncRNA from 1 species